CCUACGGGAGGCAGCAGUGGGGAAUAUUGCACAAUGGGGGAAACUCUGAUGCAGCGACGCCGCGUGCGUGAAGAAGUAUUUCGGUAUGUAAAGCUCUAUCAGCAGGGAAGAAAAUGACGGUACCUGAAUACGACGCCACGGCUAACUACGUGCCAGCAGCCGCGGGAAUACGUAGGGGGCAAGCGUUAUCCGGAUUUACUGGGUGUAAAGGGAGCGUAGACGGCAGCACAAGUCUGGAGUGAAAUGCCGGGGCUUAACCCCGGAACUGCCUUGGAUACUGUGCAGCUAGAGAGCAGGAGAGGUAAGUGGAAUGCCUAGUGUAGCGGUGAAAUGCGUAGAGAUUAGGAGGAACACCAGUUGCGAAGGCGGCUUACUGGACUGUAACUGACGUUGAGGCUCGAAAGCGUGGGGAGCAAACAGGAUUAGAUACCCUUGUAGUC
rnacentral:rRNA from 1 species